AAGCCAUGAUUUGGACAUUUUCUUAAUACCUCUUAAAUCUUUCUCAUGUCUCACAAAAGAAUUCAUAUGCUCCUUGUCUGAACAUAGAGAUUUCAAACUUUGCAU
rnacentral:snoRNA from 1 species